rnacentral:rRNA from 1 species
GUGCCGGCACGGUUCUGGGGCGAGGCCGUAACGACGGCGGUCUACCUCCUGAACAGGUCAACAACGAAGAGUGUGGCGGGGUCGACCCCGCACGAGGCCUGGUGCGGGCGGCGUCCAAACGUCGAGCACCUGCGCGUGUUCGGGAGCGUCGCGCACGUCAAGGUGACACGCCCAAACCUGUCGAAACUUGAAGACAUGAGCACACCCAUGGUCUUCAUCGGCUACGAGCCGGGAUCGGCGGCUUAUCGCGUCUUCCACCCGCCGUCGAAUCGCGUCCUGGUCUCGAGGGAUGUCGUGUUCGACGAGCAGGCCGCGUGGGACUGGACCCAGGUCGCGGCGACGAGCAAGGAGCCACAGUGGGACACGUUCUCCGUCGAGCUCGGACCA